rnacentral:tRNA from 1 species
GCCCUGAUGGUCUAGCGGUAUGAUUCUCCCUUAGGGUUUAAACGACGCGUCUGGGAGAGGUCCCAGGUUCGAAUCCUGGUUAGGGCC